rnacentral:rRNA from 1 species
CGCUGGCGGCAGGCCUAACACAUGCAAGUCGAGUGCACUCUUCGGAGUGAGCGGCGGACGGGUUAGUAACGCGUGGGAACGUACCCAGAUCUAAGGAAUAGCCACUGGAAACGGUGAGUAAUACCUUAUACGCCCUUCGGGGGAAAGAUUUAUCGGAUUUGGAUCGGCCCGCGUUAGAUUAGGUAGUUGGUGGGGUAAUGGCCUACCAAGCCUACGAUCUAUAGCUGGUUUUAGAGGAUGAUCAGCAACACUGGGACUGAGACACGGCCCAGACUCCUACGGGAGGCAGCAGUGGGGAAUCUUAGACAAUGGGCGCAAGCCUGAUCUAGCCAUGCCGCGUGAGUGAUGAAGGCCUUAGGGUCGUAAAGCUCUUUCGCCUGUGAUGAUAAUGACAGUAGCAGGUAAAGAAACCCCGGCUAACUCCGUGCCAGCAGCCGCGGUAAUACGGAGGGGGUUAGCGUUGUUCGGAAUUACUGGGCGUAAGCGCACGUAGGCGGAUUAGAAAGUUAGGGGUGAAAUCCC